rnacentral:rRNA from 1 species
GGCGCACGGGUGCGUAACGCGUAUACAAUCUGCCUUUCACAUAGGGAUAGCCCGAAGAAAUUUGGAUUAAUACCUAAUGGUAUAUAAGAGCGGCAUCGUUUUUAUAUUAAAGCUACGGUGGUGAAAGAUGAGUAUGCGAUCUAUUAGCUAGUUGGAGAGGUAACGGCUCCCCAAGGCGACGAUAGAUAGGGGUUCUGAGAGGGAUGUCCCCCACACUGGUACUGAGAUACGGACCAGACUCCUACGGGAGGCAGCAGUGAGGAAUAUUGGACAAUGGUCGGAAGACUGAUCCAGCCAUGCCGCGUGCAGGAUGAAGGUCCUAUGGAUUGUAAACUGCUUUUGUAAGGGAAGAAUAAGGAGUACGUGUACUUUGAUGACGGUACCUUACGAAUAAGCAUCGGCUAACUCCGUGCCAGCAGCCGCGGUAAUACGGAGGAUGCGAGCGUUAUCCGGAAUCAUUGGGUUUAAAGGGUCCGUAGGCGGGCUGAUAAGUCAGAGGUGAAAGCGCUUAGCUCAACUAAGCAACUGCCUUUGAAACUGUUAGUCUUGAAUGAUUGUGAAGUAGUUGGAAUGUGUAGUGUAGCGGUGAAAUGCUUAGAUAUUACACAGAACACCGAUAGCGAAGGCAUAUUACUAACAAUUUAUUGACGCUGAUGGACGAAAGCGUGGGGAGCGAACAGGAUUAGAUACCCUGGUAGUCCACGCUGUAAACGAUAGAUACUAGCUGUUUGGAGCAAUCUGAGUGGCUAAGCGAAAGUGAUAAGUAUCCCACCU